CGGAAGUUCAAGUCUUCCCAGGCCCACCACUUUCAUCGAGUGAGCAUUCGUCUUCUGGUUACGGGGCCAUAGCUCAGCUGGGAGAGCGCGUGCUUUGCAAGCAUGAGGUCGUCGGUUCGAUCCCGUCUGGCUCCACCAGAUGGUUUGAUCACCGAGAUCUUGUACCGUCGUCCGCGAAACAUCACUUCGCAUCCUGCUAGUCUGGAUAGACAGCAAGAUGCGUGUUUUCUGACAUCGUAAAGAGGAGAUCGAUCCGAGUUGGGUCGUGCAGCAGGUUGUUGCGCGGAUCCUUCAUUAUCUCCGGAUCAUUUUCGGCGCUCGACGCUGACCGCAAGGUUGGCUGCGAGUUGUAAAAUGAUCCUUUUAGCGAAGCUUGACCGCCUCGCUAUCGGAACGAUCUUACGAAGCAAGCUGGUCUUUCUAGUCAAUGUCCGGCUGUGAGAUAGCGUUCAUCGAGGGCGCGUGCCUGAGGGAUUUCGAUCUCUUGGCAAUUCUUACAGACAACAUUCUGCCGAGUGUGUGGACAUUGAUAAUGAGAGCAAUCAAGUGCCUUAAGGGUGUUCGGUGGAUGCCUUGGCGCUGAGAGGCGAUGAAGGACGUGCUACGCUGCGAUAAGCCGUGGGGAGCUGCGAAGAAGCUUUGAUCCGCGGAUUUCCGAAU
rnacentral:misc_RNA from 1 species